AGCACUUGGGCCCAGAGUAUGUGGGUGUGGUCGAGGCGGUGGGCUGGACUGAGCCUGGGACAGGAUUGGCCAACAGCCCUAGGGGAGUGUUCCCUCCUGAUGUGACACAGCCCCUGGAAGAAGCUGUGGUGCUGGGGUUGCCCAGGAGUCCCCCCUGGCCCUUCGCCUAUGUCAUCCCUGGAUCUUGUUGGCUUCCUCUGUGCGCUUUGUCGUCUCUGUCUCCGCAGCGAAAUGCAGAACCCAGACACCUAUGUGGUCUAUGCACUAUGCCCGGCCCCACAGCUGGAUGCCCACGUACAAUGCAUGAGUCCUUCCACUUCACCUCCCCUGACGUGGAGCCCAGCUGUCCCACCCAGAUGCUGUCCAGGAACCGGUAGCUCGAUGGCCAGUCACGUGAGGCUUUGGCUCACACAGGGCCUCAGUGGUCUGCAGUCCCCUGACCUUUGGGUGCCCAUGGCUGAUUUGGUCAGAGACCGCGUCGUAUGACCUCGUGGCGCUGCUGACUUCUGCUAAUAAGUUGGAGGAGUCCAGAAUUGAAUCCUGCAGGAGAACCUCCAGUAGGAGCCCAGGACUUCCAACACCUUGGCUAUUUCCUGACUCCUGAAGGCAGAAUUCAGUCAGCAGCCUGGACCUCUGACCUACAGAAGUAUAAGAAAAGAAGCAGGUACUGUUUUUCGAUGGUACAUGUGUGGCAAUCUAUUGCGCAACCACAGAAAUCACAGUUGCGGGGCAUGGUGGUGCCUGACUGCAGUCUCAGCUACUCGUGACAUGGAGACAAGGGUCACAAGCUUGCCCAGCCCAGACAGUUUAGCAAGACCCUGACCUCCUGCCCCCAUGAAAAGCAGAAGGAGAAGGAAUAGAGAAAAAAAAAUUAAUCUAGUGACUCUUGAAUCGAGCUGAGUGUCAGGGACCAGUCUCGGCAGUGGCUCCACCCCUCCGUCCCCAGGGUGUAGCAAAGGCAAAGGUUCCAAGCUGGGAACAAGGAUGCAGACCAGUACAAGGCUCCAUCCUGCUCUGUGGAAGGUGGGAGAGGAAAGGAAGGCAGCGCCCAGGAUGAGAUGGCUGCUGGGGGUGGUCUGUGCCAGGCCAUAGACGUCUCCUCGGCUGAAUCCCAAAUAAAUGCCCCACCAGCGGAUCCUGCAGCCUCUGGCCGCCACCGCCUAGUGCACUGUCCUAGCGCGUGCUCUUGCAAGGAGCCUCGCUUGCUCCUUCUGUCUUUCUCCCUCAAGCCUGUCCUGUUCUUUAUUUCAUUUCUUU